GAUAGAGGGUGCAAACGUUGUUCGGAAUUACUGGGCGUAAAGCGCGUGUAGGCGGCCCUGUAAGUCGGGUGUGAAAUCCCACGGCUCAACCGUGGAAGUGCACUCGAAACUACAGGGCUAGAGUCCUGGAGAGGAAGGUGGAAUGCUUGGUGUAGAGGUGAAAUUCGUAGAUAUCAAGCGGAACACCGGUGGCGAAGGCGGCCUUCUGGACAGUGACUGACGCUGAGACGCGAAAGCGUGGGGAGCAAACAGG
rnacentral:rRNA from 1 species